rnacentral:misc_RNA from 1 species
GAUGAAGAACGUAGCGAAAUGCGAUAAGUAAUGUGAAUUGCAGAAUUUAGUGAAUCAUCGAAUCUUUGAACGCAUAUUGCGCCCGCCAGCACUCUGGCGGGCAUGCCUGUUCGAGCGUCAUUUCAACCCUCAGGCCUCGCGUCUGGCGUUGGGGCGCUGCGGCCCUCGCGCAGGCCCCCAAAUUUAGCGGCGGAUUCCCCGCGGCCCUGAGCGCAGUAGAGAGUAAAAACUUUAACGCUCCGGCGGCCGUGGCGCGGUUCUGCCUCUUUCCCAAUAGCGCCAAUAGCGCCACCCCCAAAAAAGUUGACCUCGGAUCAGGUAGGACUACCCGCUGAACUUAAGCAUAUCAAUAAGCGGAGGA